ACCGAGGAGUUCCAGUGAUCAAGUGGAAGAAAGAUGGCAUCCAUCUAGCCUUGGGAAUGGAUGAAAGGAAGCAGCAACUUUCAAAUGGGUCUCUGCUGAUACAAAACAUACUUCAUUCCAGACACCACAAGCCAGAUGAGGGACUUUACCAAUGUGAGGCAUCUUUAGGAGAUUCUGGCUCAAUUAUUAGUCGGACAGCAAAAGUUGCAGUAGCAGAAAAGAAGCUGGGCACAGGGGCUCAUGCCUGUAAUCCCAGCACUUUGGGAAGCCAAGGCAGGAGGAUUGCUUGAACCCAGGAGUUGGAGAACCACCUGGGCAACAUAUAGACCACUGAGGUUCCUUUCACAGACAGAAUCUGUCACAGCCUUCAUGGGAGACACAGUGCUACUCAAGUGUGAAGUCAUUGGGGAGCCCAUGCCAACAAUCCACUGGCAGAAGAACCAACAAGACCUGACUCCAAUCCCAGGCGACUCCCGAAUGGUGGUCUUGCCCUCUGGAGCACUGCAGAUCAGCCGACUCCAACCGGGGGACAUUGGAAUUUACCGAUGC
rnacentral:sRNA from 1 species